AUUUCGUGAAUUUCGAUAUUUUUCGAGUCUUUUCGAUUGGGUUAUAUUCCCUUAGCCUAUUAUAAUGUAUUCGUUGUGGUUUUGACCAGAUUCGACGUGCGAAGAGGUAAAUUCGAGAGUCAAGGGCAUAGCGGAGUAGACAUUGGAUCGUCUUGAGGUGAGUAAUGACUUUAUAUGAUGCACUGAGGGUUUGAAACCCCGGAUUGCACAACAUACUACUAUGUUGAGAUGUGACACGCGUUGUAUGACGAGUGUGGGGUCAUUUACUAUUGGGUAUUGUGACUUGGUCCAUCCCAGCUGAUAUUUUUACCACGUAAUUAAUAAAGAUUUAUUGUUUUUUACUAUGAUUGGGCUUAUUGUCAUAUUUGGGCUUCGUGCCAAUUAUCUGAAAUCUUUUGUGAAUUUACAUCACUAUUUUCCUCACGAAUUGAAAUAUUAUUUGAACUCAGUCCAAUUGAAUUAUAUUAUUUUGUGAACUCAGCUACAUUUAUACUCAACUCGAGAUUUAAUGAUAAUUAUAAUAUUGUUGAGCUGAGCACUAUUGUUUUACUGAUGCCCAAGAGGCUUAUGAUUAUUUUCUGAACUGAUUGAGGCCGAGGGCCAUACGUGAGGAUAUGUUGAGUGAUGUGAGGAGGCUUUUAGGCCUCGAGUAUUAUAUGAGGAGGCUUUCAGGCCUCGUGUGUGAUGUAUGAAGGCUUUCAGGCCUAUUGAUAUUGCGCUUGGGCUGUAUGAGCCCCUUCGGAGUCUGUACAUACCCCAGUGAGCGCAGGGUACCCAGGUGAGUUGGGAGUGGGCCCGAGAGGCCGUUGCUUGUGUGUGGUGAGUUGGGGGUGAGCCUGAGGGGCUGAUGUUGUGUACUGGUGAGUUGAGAGUGAGCCCGAGGGGCUGAUACUAUACUGAGAUUUACAUAUUAAGCCCGAGGGGUAAGCUUUUGAUUUAUCUUUACUGUGGAAAUUAUUUGUCUUUACUGUUUUAAAAGAAGAAUUAUCUAAUACUCACUAUUUUACUGUAUAACUGAUUUUACUACUUGGGAUAAUGCUAUAUUGUGCCGUUAUGAGAUUUCAUAUUUUCAGUCGUUAUUUAUUUUUAUUACUCACUGGGUCGAAGUACUCACAUUACUCCCUGCACCAUGUGUGCAGAUACAGGCAGAGCUGAGUUCGCUCCUGAGCGUUGAUUCUUUCCAGACCAGGCGGUGACUAGGAGUAACGAGGUAGCUGUUGACGUCCGCAGCCCCGUUUUCUCCCUUAUCUUUGUUAUUUAUGAUAAUUCCAGACUUUGUAAAAUAUUAGUAAAC
rnacentral:lncRNA from 1 species